GAAUAUUGGACAAUGGAGGCAACUCUGAUCCAGCCAUGCCGCGUGCAGGAAGAAUGCCCUAUGGGUUGUAAACUGCUUUUAUUUGGGAAUAAACCUCUUUACGUGUAGAGAGCUGAAGGUACCAAAUGAAUAAGCACCGGCUAACUCCGUGCCAGCAACCGCGGUAAUACGGAGGGUGCAAGCGUUAUCCGGAAUCAUUGGGUUUAAAGGGUCCGCAGGCGGAUUUAUAAGUCAGUGGUGAAAGCCCAUCGCUUAACGAUGGAACUGCCAUUGAUACUGUAAGUCUUGAAUUCGGUCGAAGUGGGCGGAAUGUGUCAUGUAGCGGUGAAAUGCAUAGAUAUGACACAGAACACCGAUAGCGAAGGCAGCUCACUAGGCCCGGAUUGACGCUCAGGGACGAAAGCGUGGGGAGCGAACAGG
rnacentral:rRNA from 1 species